GAACACAGACCUCUAGCUCUCCUUGCCGGCCUCCUGGCUAGACCUGCGCUCAUUGCGCACUCCGGCUGACGUGCAAGGGAGCCCGCUGGCCUCUCUGUGCCCUUUUCUGUCCCUGAAAUUCCUGUUGAGGCUCUCCCAACACCUUCCGACGCUCGUUAGUCAAAGCCUGGAGAAUAGUUACAUCUCCUGGAUGAUCGGUUCAGAAAUAUGUCCCAAUGCCCCCUCCCUCCGGAGCCUAGAGAAGAUUUGCAUCAUUUGGGUGAUCAGCGCAGAGAUAUAUCACAAUGUCCCAUGUACAAAAAGCCUGGAAAUGAUUUACAUCACCUCGGUGAUCAGUGCAUAGGUAUGUCAGAUAUCCCCAGUAGCCUGAACCUAGACAAGGGUUACAUCACUUAGGUGAUCAGCAUAGAGAUAUGUGAAAAUUCCC
rnacentral:lncRNA from 1 species